rnacentral:rRNA from 1 species
AGAGUUUGAUCCUGGCUCAGGAUGAACGCUAGCGGCAGGCUUAACACAUGCAAGUCGAGGGGUAACAGGUGUAGCAAUACAUGCUGACGACCGGCGCACGGGUGAGUAACGCGUAUGCAACCUGCCUUUAACUGAGGGAUAGCCCCGAGAAAUCGGGAUUAAUACUUCAUAACACCAUGAAGCAGCAUUGCUUUAUGGUUAAAGCUCCGGCGGUUAAAGAUGGGCAUGCGUGACAUUAGCCAGUUGGUAGGGUAACGGCCUACCAAAGCUACGAUGUCUCGGGGGUCUUAAAGGAUGAUCCCCCACACUGGUACUGAGACACGGACCAGACUCCUACGGGAGGCAGCAGUGAGGAAUAUUGGUCAACGGGCGCAAGCCUGAACCAGCCAUGCCGCGUGAAGGACUGAAGGCCCUAUGGGUCGUAAACUUCUUUUGUACGGGAAGAAAUCCCUGGUCGUGACCGGGGUUGACGGUACUGUAUGAAUAAGCAUCGGCUAACUCCGUGCCAGCAGCCGCGGUAAUACGGAGGAUGCGAGCGUUAUCCGGAUUCAUUAGGUUUAAAGGGUGUGUAGGCGGGAUGAUAAGUCAGUGGUGAAAGCCUGCGGCUCAACCGUAGAACUGCCAUUGAAACUGUCAUUCUUGAGUACAAUUGAGGUGGGCGGAAUGUGUGGUGUAGCGGUGAAAUGCUUAGAUAUCACACAGAACACCGAUUGCGAAGGCAGCUCACUAAACUGUUACUGACGCUGAGGCACGAAAGCGUGGGGAUCAAACAGGAUUAGAUACCCUGGUAGUCC